GACGAACGCUGGCGGCGUGCCUAAUACAUGCAAGUCGAGCGGACAGACGGGAGCUUGCUCCCUGAUGUUAGCGGCGGAGGGGUGAGUAACACGUGGGUAACCUGCCUGUAAGACUGGGAGAACUCCGGGAAACAGGGGCUAAUACCGGAUGGUUGUCUGAACCGCAUGGUUCGGACAUAAAAGGUGGCUUCGGCUACCACUUACAGAUGGACCCGCGGCGCAUUAGAUAGCUGGUGAGGGAACGGGUAACAAAGGCAACGAUGCGUAGCCGACCUGAGAGGGUGAUCGGCCACACUGGGACUGGGACACGGCCCAGAAUCCUACGGGAGGCAGAAGUAGGGAAUUUUCAGCAAUGGACGCAAGUCUGACGGAGCAACGACGCGUGAGUGAUGAAGGUUUUCGGAUCGUAAAGCUCUGUUGUUAGUGAAGAACAAGUGCCGUUCAAAUCGGGCGGCACAUUGACGGUACCUACCCAGAAAGCCACGGCUAACUACGUG
rnacentral:rRNA from 1 species